rnacentral:rRNA from 1 species
UACAGAGGGGGCAAGCGUUGUUCGGAAUUACUGGGCGUAAAGGGCGCGUAGGCGGCCUGUUAAGUCGAACGUGAAAUCCCUGGGCUCAACCCAGGAACUGCGUCCGAUACUGGAAGGCUUGAAUCCGGGAGAGGGAUGCAGAAUUCCAGGUGUAGCGGUGAAAUGCGUAGAUAUCUGGAGGAAUACCGGUGGCGAAGGCGGCAUCCUGGACCGACAUUGACGCUGAUGAGCGAAAGCUAGGGGAGCAAACGGGG